AGGUGCGAUCAUACCAGCACUACCAGAUCCCAUUAGAACUCCACAGUUAAGGGUACUCGGGCGAGAGUAGUACUAGGAUGGGUUACCACCUGAGAAGUCCUCGUGUUGCACCUC
rnacentral:rRNA from 2 species